GGGGGAUAUUGCACAAUGGGGGAAACCCUGAUGCAGCGACGCCGCGUGGAGGAAGAAGGUUUUCGGAUUGUAAACUCCUGUCGUUAGGGACGAUAAUGACGGUACCUAACAAGAAAGCACCGGCUAACUACGUGCCAGCAGCCGCGGUAAAACGUAGGUCACAAGCGUUGUCCGGAAUUACUGGGUGUAAAGGGAGCGCAGGCGGGCGAUCAAGUUGGAAGUGAAAUCCAUGGGCUCAACCCAUGAACUGCUUUCAAAACUGAUUGUCUUGAGUAGUGCAGAGGUAGGCGGAAUUCCCGGUGUAGCGGUGGAAUGCGUAGAUAUCGGGAGGAACACCAGUGGCGAAAGCGACCUACUGGGCACCAACUGACGCUGAGGCUCGAAAGUGUGGGUAGCAAACAGGAUUAGAUACCCUGGUAGUCCACACCGUAAACGAUGAUUACUAGGUGUUGGAGGAUUGACCCCUUCAGUGCCGCAGUUAACACAAUAAGUAAUCCACCUGGGGAGUACGACCGCAAGGUUGAAACUCAAAGGAAUUGACGGGGGCCCGCACAAGCAGUGGAGUAUGUGGUUUAAUUCGACGCAACGCGAAGAACCUUACCAAGUCUUGACAUCCUGCGACGGUGCUAGAAAUAGUAUUUUCCUUCGGGACGCAGAGACAGGUGGUGCAUGGUUGUCGUCAGCUCGUGUCGUGAGAUGUUGGGUUAAGUCCCGCAACGAGCGCAACCCUUAUGGUCAGUUACUACGCAAGAGGACUCUGGCCAGACUGCCGUUGACAAAACGGAGGAAGGUGGGGAUGACGUCAAAUCAUCAUGCCCUUUAUGACUUGGGCUACACACGUACUACAAUGGCGUUAAACAAAGAGAAGCAAGACCGCGAGGUGGAGCAAAACUCAGAAACAACGUCCCAGUUCGGACUGCAGGCUGCAACUCGCCUGCACGAAGUCGGAAUUGCUAGUAAUCGCAGAUCAGCAUGCUGCGGUGAAUACGUUCCCG
rnacentral:rRNA from 1 species